CCAGACUCCUACGGGAGGCAGCAGUGGGGAAUAUUGCACAAUGGGGGAAACCCUGAUGCAGCAACGCCGCGUGAGUGAAGAAGUAUUUCGGUAUGUAAAGCUCUAUCAGCAGGGAAGAGAAUGACGGUACCUGACUAAGAAGCCCCGGCUAACUACGUGCCAGCAGCCGCGGUAAUACGUAGGGGGCGAGCGUUAUCCGGAUUUACUGGGUGUAAAGGGAGCGUAGACGGUUCUGCAAGUCUGAAGUGAAAGCCCGUGGCUUAACCGCGGAACGGCUUUGGAAACUGUGGAACUGGAGUACUGGAGAGGCAAGCGGAAUUCCUAGUGUAGCGGUGAAAUGCGUAGAUAUUAGGAGGAACACCAGUGGCGAAGGCGGCUUGCUGGACAGUAACUGACGUUGAGGCUCGAAAGCGUGGGGAGCAAACAGGAUUAGAUACCCGAGUA
rnacentral:rRNA from 1 species